rnacentral:lncRNA from 1 species
UGAAACAGAGACAACUAAAAGAAUAGGAAUACACGGCCAACCUUGCCGUCGAUGAUAGACUUGCUUGUUGCGCAUUCCUCCUUCGAUUGUUGUCGGAUUGUUAUCGGAUUUUGAGCAGCAAAUGAUCGGACUCCCCACUGAAACAUACAUAAGAAAGCAUUUCAACACCUAAUUCAGUAGAGAUGUCUCUCCAAGGAAACCAUGUCCCCCCUAAGCAACCGAAGAACAAUGAAUAAUUUUGUAUAUCCGAAGAACGAAAUUCAGAUGGUGAUAACACCAGAGCUUCCCAAUUUGCACCCCUGAAAGGACUCCAUUCUCUUAGCUGAGAAGAACUCACCUCUGGCUGGUGGGCGGAGCGGCCACUGAUGGCAAAGAAGCUCGAAGAGUACAGCAACCACCUGGGCGCCGACGAGUAGAGGAAGUGGACAUGCUACCCCUUACUCCUUCGGACUGACGGCUGCGGCGAAGUGGAGCUGAUGGAGGAGGGGAUCACGAGUAGCGCCGGGAUGGUCGGCGCUGGAACUCGUUGGGAAGGGGUCGUUGGUGUGCGGUGGAUCCGGGCCGGUGUCAUGCUUGAUA